UUUUCACAGUUAUAGAAAUCGAACCGUCGAAUCAUAAGACACUCGAUGCGACCUGCUGCGCUCUCGAGCCCCGACGAGUGACGGCGAUACUUCUAAGUGCAUUUCCCUGCUUGAGGAUGUGUUUUGGUAUCUUGCCUGUGUCACCAAGAGAAGUUCUGUUCUUCCUCUAUAUAUAUACUACACCUAGGAUAAUGUAAUCUACUUAUUUCUUGUCAUCUACAAGAGCUCAGUUAGAACCAGAUCCUGGCUUUACAUGUGAGAGAAUGACAUCUCACUGUCCAUAUAGAUAAGACGUGUGAUAGGCCACAUACAUCAGCCAUUACUGAACUGCACAUGCAACUUGGGCUGAUGAGGAGUGGGUUCUGUAAUCUUUAGAAAGAUACGUUUGUUCAGAUAAGAAAUGCCAAAAACGCUUCCACAAGACACAAACGGUAGUUAUCUCCACCAUCUGACACAAAACAGCAGUACAAGGUUUUUUUCCUGUCAAAAUCAAUUAAUUAGGGACACAGUGAGACGGCCACAAAGAUUUGCUCCACGUCGAGAUCGGCGCAGGAUGUCGAGAUCGAGAGCGUGGCCGGUGAUCUUUCUUAGUGAAGCAACACAAAGGUUGUGAAGGAGCAACUCCACCUUACUGCUACAAUGUGUACAUCACAAAUGUUGAAGGAACAACUUCAACGUGUUGCGCUAGAUAUCGCUCUAGAGGCGAAUGUAGGCUGAUAGGGCAGCAAGAGUUCAAUCCAGAACUCCUAGGGCACAAGAUCUACUCCAAGAUCUUAGAUAAGAACAACAAGUUCUAUUAUAGGUAGGGGUACAUAGUCUCCGUACAAAGUAGAGGUGGGGACCUCUAUUUAUAGGGCUUUCGGAAGCCUUCGCAUACUUCUACUUAUAACUGGAAUACUCUAGAAAACAUUAUGUAAGUUUCACCAUUCUACUCAUAGCUACUGACAACUAGAAGACUUUAGAAAACAGUAGGUAGGAUAGAAAAGAAAAUGAAAGAAAUACUACACUAGAGUGGAAGCAUCUAGAAGUAGCCAAACAGAUCUGGCAUGUGUUUUCUUUCUUCUCGUCUAGUGUUCCUCAUCAUUCUCCCCUGGUUGUUGGAACUCGCCCUCGAGUUAUCUUCAUAGAGCGCUUCUUCUGGAUGAUAGAGAGUCAAGUCCGCAACAUUGAAAGUGUUGGAGAUACCCAUGUCACUUGGAAGAUCUAUCACAUAAGCAUUAUCAUUUAUCUUCCUCACGAUAGAGAAGGGCCCAUACCUUCGAUGCCUAAGUUUCCCUUUAACACCUAAAGGAAGCCUCUCUUUUCGGAGGUAGACCAUCACCUUAUCAUCGACGUGGAAUGAUUUUGGCCUCUUUUUGCAAUCAGCAAGUUGUUUAUAUUUCUGAUUUUGUGCUUCCAAAGCGCCGCGAAUCUCUUUAACUCGGUGUAAUUAUCAGCAAAGGACAAUGCUGAUUUUGAGUUUCUCCUUGAUGGCAGCUUCACCAGGUCCACCACAUGUGUUGGAACUUUAGUGUAGACAAUGGAAAAAGGGCUCCUUCCUGUGGAUCUAUGCUUGGAGUUAUUGUAGAAGAACUCUGCAAGAGAUAAAGCCAAAUCCCAUUGCCCCUUUCUUUCUCCACAAAUGCAACAGAUCAGAUUACCCAAAAACUUGUUCACCACUUCCGUUUGUCCAUCUGUUUGUGAAUGAGCAGUGCUAGAAAAUUACAAUUCAGUGUUGAAUUGCUUCCACAAAGUGAGCCAAAAUGCAGCAAGAAACUUGCUAUCACGAUCUGAGACGAUGGACCUUGGAACUCCAUGAAGUCUGACCACUUCUCGAAAGAAUAGGUUUGUCACAUGAUGAGCAUCCGUUAUCUUGCGGCAUGGAAUGAAAUGAGCCAUCUUAGAGAACCUGUCCACGACCACAAACACAACAUCACUCCGUCAUCUUGUUCUUGGCAAGCCCAAGAUGAAGUCCAUAGAGAUGUCCUCCCAUGGAGCGACAGGAACAGGCAAAGGCAUGUAUAACCCUGUGUUCUGGACUUGGCCUUUGUAGGUUUGAGUAGGGCAUCGCUGAACAAACUUUCUAGCAUCUCUCUUUAGUUGUGGCCAAAAGUAGCAAGCUUCCAGGCUAGCGACAGUCUUGUCCCGUCCAACAUGGCCAGUAAGAUCACUUGAAUGGAGCUCUCUAACCAGCUUGUCACGUAGAGAACUUCUUGGAAUGCACAAACGAUCAUUUUUGAAGACAUAUCCAUCUUGCAUCAAAUAGUCAUCACCUAAUGGUUGGCCCCUUGCGUGCUUUACCCAGACAUGACCAAAGUCUUCGUCACCCUCAUACAACUCCUUUAUUUGAUCCAUGCCCGGAAGUUCAGCUUCAAAAGAAGUCAAGAGGCAUGUGAUACGUCUCCAACGUAUCUAUAAUUUUUUAUUGCUCCAUGCUAUAUUAUCUACUGUUUUGGACAUUAUUGGGCUUUAUUAUCCACUUUUAUAUUAUUUUUGGGACUAACCUAUUAACCGGAGGCCCAGCCCAGAAUUGCUGUUUUUUGCCUGUUUUAGGGUUUCGAAGAAAAGGAAUAUCAAACGGAGUCCAAACGGAAUGAAACCUUCGGGAACGUGAUUUUUAGGAAGAUUAUGAUCCGGGAGACUUGGACCCUACGUCAAGAAAGAAAACAGGAGGGCACGAGGUAGGGGGCGUGCCCACCCCCACCAGGCGCGCCCUUCACCCACGUGGGCCCCCUGUUGCUCCACCGACGUACUCCUUUCUCCUAUAUAUACCCACGUACCCCCAAACGAUCAAAUAUGGAGCCAAACCCCUAAUUCCACCGCCGCAACUUUCUGUAUCCACGAGAUCCCAUCUUGGGGCCUAUUCCGGAGCUCCGCUGGAGGGGGCAUCGAUCACGGAGGGCUUCUAUAUCAACACCAUAGCCUCUCCGAUGAAGUGUGAGUAGUUUACCUCAGACCUACGGGUCCAUAGUUAGUAGCUAGAUGGCUGCUUCUCUCUUUUUGGAUCUCAAUACAAUGUUCUCCCCCUCUCUUGUGGAGAUCUAUUCGAUGUAAUCUUCUUUUUGCGGUGUGUUUGUUAAGACUGAUGAAUUGUGGGUUUAUGAUCAAGUCUAUCUAUGAAUAAUAUUUGAAUCUUCUCUGAAUUCUUUUAUGUAUGAUUGGUUAUCUUUGCAAGUCUCUUCGAAUUAUCAGUUUGGUUUGGCCUACUAGAUUGAUCUUUCUUGCAAUGGGAGAAGUGCUUAGCUUUGGGUUCAAUCUUGCGGUGUCCUUUCCCGGUGACAGUAAGGGCAGAAAGGCAUGUAUUGUAUUGUUGCCAUCGAGGAUAACAAGAUGGGGUUUUCUUCAUAUUCCAUGAAUCUAUCCCUCUACAUCAUGUCAUCUUGCUUAAGGCGUUACUCUGUUUUUAACUUAAUACUCUAGAUGCAUGUUGGAUAGCGGUCGAUGAGUGGAGUAAUAGUAGUAGAUGCAGGCAGGAGUCGGUCUACUUUUCUCGGACGUGAUGCCUAUAUACAUGACCAUACCUAGAUAUUCUCAUAACUAUGCUCAAUUCUGUCAAUUGCUCAACAGUAAUUUGUUCACCCACCGUAGAAUACUUAUGCUCUCGAGAGAAGCCACUAGUGAAACCUAUGGCCCUCGGGUCUAUCUUCAUCGUAUUAAUCUCCUACUACUUAGUUAUUUCCUUUGCUAUUUACUUUGCCUUUAUUUUACUUUGCAUCUUUAUCAUAAAAAUACCAAAAAAUAUUAUCUUAUCAUAUCUAUCAGAUCUCACUCUCGUAAGUGGCCCUAUAGGGAUUGACAACCCCUAUUUGCGUUGGUUGCGAGGAUUUAUUUGUUUUGUGCAUGUGCGAGGGACUCGCGCGUAGCCUCCAACUGGAUUGAUACCUUGGUUCUCAAAAACUGAGGAAAAUACUUGCGCUACUUUGCUCCAUCAUCCCUUCCUCUUCGGGGAAAACCAACACAGUGCUCAAGAGGUAGCAAGAAGGAUUUCUGGCACUGUUGUCGGGGAGGUCUACGCAAAAGUCAACAUACCAAGUACCCAUCACAUACCCUUAUCUCCCGCACUACAUUAUUUGCCAUUUGCCUCUCGUUUUCCUCCCCCCCCCCACUUCGCCCUUGCCGUUUUAUUCGCCCUCUCUCUCUCUCUCUCUAUCCUCCCUCUCUAUUUGCCUCUUUUUGCCCGCUUGCUUUUUGUUUGCUUGUGUGUUAGUUUGUUUGCUUGUCGUUAUGGCUAGUUCCUUAUCUUCUCCGUUAUCUCCCAAGAAUGAAAUUCUUAAUUUUGAGCAAAGGGAGGGUGAAAAUCUAAAAGAUACUUGGUAUAGAAUUUGCAAUGCUCAAAAUAGAUCUACUAGGAAGCAAUCUACUACCAUUCUCCUUCGCAAUUUUUAUGUAGGCAUUACUCCUUGGCACCGUUAUGUUCUUGAUACUAUUACCGGAGGGAACUUUUUGGGUAGCCAUACUUUUGAUUGUUAUAAUGCUAUGUUAGAUUUAUUUGGCUCACCCCUCUCUUGGUUAAUGGAACUAUAUUAACUUUGGAGCAUGUAAUGCAAAGGCUUAAGAUUGUUGAAAAUAAGGUUGCUACCGUAGAGUUAAUUGAAAAUUUGGAUAAAAAGAUCCACAGCCGAAUCUCUCAAUAUGGAUCUAAAGUAGGAGUUACUUUGAAAGAUAUUAAAGAAAAGGAACCCAUAGUUAAUGAGAAAAUAAAUCAUGAUUCCGUUAGGGUUGAUAAACUUGAGAAUAUUAUUACCAACUUGGGAACUGCUUUUUCUUCCGUAAAGAAUACUCCAGGUCCUUCCACUAAAGUUGCCAAGCUUAUGUACGUUCCUAAAAAUAAGGGUGAAUCAUCUAGUAAGGAAAAUGCGGAUCUCAAAUCUAUAAGUGUUCAUCCCAAUCUUUUUGUUAUCAUUAAGGAACCAUUUGUUACAAAUGAAUUUUUCGAUCUUGUGCCUAAAAGUUUGAUAAUCAAUAAAAAUAAAGAAAUUCCUAAAUAUGGUAGAUGCCUCAUUGAAGAAUUGCCUUCCAAAGAUGGCAAUACCUAGAUCUAUUUUUGCUUGUUAUGCCUAGCUAGGGGCGUUAAAAGAUAGCGCUUGUUAGGAGGCAACCCAAUUUUAUUUUUAUUCCUUGCUUUUUGAUCCUGUUUAGUAAUAAAUAAUUUACCUAGCCUCUGUUUUGCUUGUGUUUUUUGUGUUUAAUUAGUGUUUGUGCCAAGUAGAACCAUUGGGAAGACUUGGGGAAAGUCUUGUUGAACUUGCUGUAAAAAACAGAAACUUUAGUGCUCACGAGAACUGCUGUAAGUUUUAUUUGGAUAGUGAUAUUUAGUUAAUUCUUUUUGCAGAUGAUUAAUAGAUAAAUUAAUCACGUCCAGAAAUUUAUUUUGGAAUUUUUGGAGUUCCAGAUCUUGCGCUAGAUACAGAUUACUACAGACUGUUCUGUUUUUGACAGAUUCUGUUUUUCAUGUGUUGUUUGCUUAUUUUGAUGAAUCUAUGGCUAGUAAAAUAGUUUAUAAACCAUAGAGAAGUUUGAAUACAGUAGGUAUAACACCAAUAUAAAUAAAGAAUGAGUUCAUUACAGUACCUUGAAGUAAUAUUUUAUUUUCUUUCGCUAACGGAGCUCAGGAGAUUUUCUACUUUAAGUUUUGUGUUGUGAAGUUUUCAAGUUUUGGGUAAAGAUUUGAUGGAUUAUGGAACAAGGAGUGGAAAGAGCCUAAGCUUGGGGAUUCCCAUGGCACCCCCCAAGAUAAUAUAAGGACACCUAAAAUCCGAAGCUUGGGGAUGCCCCGGAAGGCAUCCCCUCUUUCGUCUACUUCUAUCGGUAACUUUACUUGGAGCUAUAUUUUUAUUUACCACAUGAUAUGUGUUUUGCUUGGAGAGUCUUGUAUGAUUUGAGUCUUUACUUGUUAGUUUACCACAAUCAUUCUUGCUGUACACACCUUUUGAGAGAGCCAUACAUGAUUUGGAAUUUGUUAGAAUACUCUAUGUGCUUCGCUUAUAUCUUUUGAGUUAUAUAAUUUUGCUCUAGUACUUCACUUAUAUCUUUUAGAGCACGGUGGUGGAUUUGUUUUAUAGAAACUAUUGAUCUCUCAUGCUUCACUUAGAUUAUUUUGAGAGUCUUAAUUGUGUGGUAAUUUUCUUAAAAUCUUAAUAUGCUUGGUAUGCAAGAUUAAUAAUAAAACUUUCUUAUGAGUGUGUUGAAUACUAUGAUAAGUUUGAUACUUGAUAAUAGUUUUGAGAUAUAGAGAUGGUGAUAUUAAAGUCAUGAUAGUUGAGUAGUUGUGAAUUUGAGAAAUGCUUGUGUUGAAGUUUGUGAUUCUCGUAGCAUGCACGUAUGGUGAACCGUUAUGUGAUGAAGUCGGAGCAUGAUUUAUUUAUUGAUUGUCUUCCUUAUGAGUGGCGGUCGGGGAUGAGUGAUGGUCUUUUCCUACCAAUCUAUCCCCCUAGGAGCAUGCACGUAAUACUUUGUUUUGAUAACUUGUAGAUUUUUGCAAUAAGUAUAUGAGUUCUUUAUGACUAAUGUUGACUCCAUGGAUUAUACGCACUCUCACCCUUCCACCUUUGCUAGCCUCUCUAAUACCACGCACCUUUCGCCGGUAUCAUACACCCACCAUAUACCUUCCUCAAAACAGCCACCAUACCUACCUAUUAUGGCAUUUUCAUAGCCAUUCCGAGAUAUAUUGCCAUGCAACUCUCCACCAUUAUGACACACUCCAUCAUUGUCAUAUUUCUUAGCAUGAUCAUGUAGUUGACAUCGUAUUUGUGGCAAAGCCACCAUUCAUAAUUCUUUCAUGCAUGUCACUCAUGAGUCAUUGCAUAUCCCGGUACACCGCCGGAGGCAUUCACAUAGAGUCAUAUUUUCUUCUAAGUAUCGAGUUGUAAUUGUUGAGUUGUAAGAAAAAUAAAAUUGUGAUGAUCAUCAUUAUUAGAGCAUUGUCCCAUGUGAGGAAAGGAUGAUGGGGACUAUGAUUCCCCCACAAGUCGGGAUGAGACUCCGGACGAAAAUAAUAAUAAUUAUAAAAAGGCCAUAAAAAGAGAAGGCCCAAAAAAACAAAAAAAUGAGAGAAAAAGAGAGAAGGGGCAAAGCUAAUAUCCUUUAUACCACACUUGUGCUUCAAAGUAGCACCAUGAUCUUCAUGAUAGAGAGUCUCCUAUGUUGUCACUUUCAUAUACUAGUGGGAAUCUUUCAUUAUAGAACUUGGCUUGUAUAUUCCAAUGAUGGGCUUCCUCAAAUUGCCCUAGGUCUUCAUGAGCAAGCAAGUUGGAUGCACACCCACUUAGUUUCUUUUUGAGCUUUCAUAUACUUAUAGCUCUAGUGCAUCCGUUGCAUGGCAAUCCCUACUCACUCACAUUGAUAUCUAUUGAUGGGCAUCUCCAUAGCCCGUUGAUAUGCCUAGUUGAUGUGAGACUAUCUUCCCCUUUUUGUCUUCUCCACAACCACCAUUCUAUUCCACCUAUAGUGCUAUAUCCAUGGCUCACGCUCAUGUAUUGCAUGAAAAUUGAGAAAGUUUUGAGAAUGUCAAAAGUAUGAAACAAUUGCUUGGCUUGUCAUCGGGGUUGUGCAUGAUUUAAAUAUUUUGUGUGGUGAAGAUAGAGCAUAGCCAGACUAUAUGAUUUUGUAGGGAUAACUUUCUUUAGCCAUGUUAUUUCGAGAAGACAUAAUUGCUUUGUUAGUAUGCUUGAAGUAUUAUUAUUUUUAUGUCAAUAUGAACUUUUGUCUUGAAUCUUUCGGAUCUAAAUAUUCAUACCACAAUUAAGAAUAAUUACAUUGAAAAUUAUGCCAAGUAGCACUCCGCAUCAAAAAUUCUGUUUUUAUCAUUUACCUACUCGAGGACGAGCAUGAAUUAAGCUUGGGGAUGCUUGAUACGUCUCCAACGUAUCUAUAAUUUUUGAUUGCUCCAUGCUAUAUUAACUACUGUUUUGGACAUUAUUGGGCUUUAUUAUCCACUUUUAUAUUAUUUUUGGGACUAACCUAUUAACCGGAGGCCCAACCCAGAAUUGUUGUUUUUUGCCUGUUUUAGGGUUUCGAAGAAAAGGAAUAUCAAACGGAGUCCAAACGGAAUGAAACCUUCGGCAACAUGAUUUUUAGAAAUAUUAUCAUCCGGGGGACUUGGACCCUACGUCAAGAAAGAAAACAGGAGGGCACGAGGUAGGGGGGCGCACCCACCCCCACCAGGCGCGCCCUUCACCCUCGUGGGCCCCCUGUUGCUCCACCGACGUACUCCUUCCUCCUGUAUAUACCUACGUACCCCCAAACGAUUAGAUACGGAGCCAAAACUCUAAUUCCACCGUCGCAACUUUCUGUAUCCACGAGAUCCCAUCUUGGGGCCUAUUCCGGAGCUCCGCCGGAGGGGGCAUCAAUCACGGAGGGCUUCUACAUCAACACCAUAGCCUCUCCGAUGAAGUGUGAGUAGUUUACCUCAGACCUACGGAUCCAUAGUUAGUAGCUAGAUGGCUGCUUCUCUCUUUUUGGAUCUCAAUACAAUGUUCUCCCCCUCUCUUGUGGAGAUCUAUUUGAUGUAAUCUUCUUUUUGCGGUGUGUUUGUUGAGACCGAUGAAUUGUGGGUUUAUGAUCAAGUCUAUCUAUGAUUAAUAUUUGAAUCUUCUCUGAAUUCUUUUAUGUAUGAUUGGUUAUCUUUGCAAGUCUCUUCGAAUUAUCAAUUUGGUUUGGCCUACUAGAUUGAUCUUUCUUGCAAUGGGAGAAGUGCUUAGCUUUGGGUUCAAUCUUGCGGUGUCCUUUCCCGGUGACAGUAAGGGCAGCAAAGAACGUAUUGUAUUGUUGCCAUCGAGGAUAACAAGAUGGGGUUUUCUUCAUAUUGCAUGAGUCUAUCCCUCUACAGCAUGUCAUCUUGCUUAAGGCGUUACUCUGUUUUUAACUUAAUAUUCUAGAUGCAUGCUGGAUAGCGGUCGGUGAGUGGAGUAAUAGUAGUAGAUGCAGGCAGGAGUCGGUCUACUUGUCUCGGACCUGAUGCCUAUAUACAUGAUCAUACCUACAUAUUCUCAUAACUAUGCUCAAUUCUUUUAAUUGAUCAACAGUAAUUUGUUCACCCACCGUAGAAUACUUAUGCUCUCGAGAGAAGCCACUAGUGAAACCUAUGGCCCCCGGGUCUAUCUUCAUCAUAUUAAUCUCCUACUACUUAGUUAUUUCCUUUGCUAUUUACUUUGCCUUUAUUUUACUUUGCAUCUUUAUCAUAAAAAUACCAAAAAUAUUAUCUUAUCAUAUCUAUCAGAUCUCACUCUCGUAAGUGGCCCUAUAGGGAUUGACAACCCCUAUUUGCGUUGGUUGCGAGGAUUUAUUUGUUUUGUGCAGGUGCGAGGGACUCGCGCGUAGCCUCCUACUGGAUUGAUACCUUGGUUCUCAAAAACUGAGGGAAAUACUUACGCUACUUUGCUGCAUCAUCCCUUCCUCUUCGAGGAAAACCAACGCAGUGCUCAAGAGGUAGCAGCAUGCACGAUGACUCAAAGCAUCGGCCACUCUGUUAGUUAUUCCAGAUUUAUGCACGAUGAGAUAGUUAAACCUCUCUAGAUAUGCUGCCCAUCUUGCUAGCAUGCGGUCAACAUGCUUUUGAUUUCUAAAAUGCUUCAAGGAUUGAUGGUCGCUAUAAACAAUGAACUCUUGAGGCAGCAAAUAGACUUCCCAAGUUUUCAACGCUCUGAAAAUGGCAUAUAAUUCUUGCUGAUAGGUACUCCAUUUCUAUCUAGCUUCACUUAACUUCUCACUAAAGAAAGCAAUGGGCUUCCUUUCUUGAGAUAGGACAGCUCCAAUGCCUACUCCACUUGCAUCACACUCUAACUCAAAAGUCUUGUUGAAAUCAGGUAGUACCAAGACAGGAGGUUGUGGUAGCUUUUGUUUAAUCUCAUUGAAACUAGCUUCAGCUGCUUCUGUCCAUUGGAACUUUCCUUUCUUAAAACACUCGGUAAUUGGUGCCAUGAUAGUGCUGAAAUUCUUCACAAAUCGCCUAUAUAAAGUUGCAAGGCCAUGAAAGCUUCUUACCUCAGAAAUGGUCUUAGGAGUUGGCCAUUCUCGAAUUGCUUCAACCUUAGAAUCAUCAACACGAAUGCUGUCACAUGUUAUGAUCAAUCCUAGGAAAAUAGGUUGUGUUUGCAGGAAAACACAUUUCUUCAAGUUGACGUAGAGCUCAUUUUCCCUUAGUACUUCUAGCACCUUCCAAAUGUGAUCAAAGUGUUCAUCCUCAUCCUUGCUAUAGAUCAAGAUGUCAUCGAAAUAGACCACAGCAAAGUGGGAUAAAAAGGGUCUAAGGACUUGAUUCAUUAAGUGCAUAAAGGUACUUGGUGCAUUUGAGAGUCCAAAUGGCAUGACUAGCUAUUCAAACAACCCUUCCUUUGUCUUGAAGGCGGUUUUCCGUUCAUCCCGGGGUCUUAUACGGAUUUGAUGAUAUCCACUUUUCAAAUCUAGCUUUGUGAACACUCUUGCUCCACUAAGUUGAUCCAACAUAUCAUCCAGACAGGGUAUAGGGAAUCUAUACCUUACAGUGAUCUUGUUAACGGCUCUACUGUCCGUACACAUGCGCCAAGAUCCAUCUUUCUUAGGCGCGAGCAGGGCUGGUACAUCACAUGGGCUAAUACUUUCUCGAAUGUGUCCCUUUUGCAGCAAUUCCUCCACUUUCUCCUUCAAUAUGUCAUGCUCCUUUGGGCUCCUUUGGGCUCAUUCGAUAGUGUGGAAGACUAGGAAGACUUGCUCCCAGAAUUAAGUCAAUUCUAUGUUGAAUUCCUCUCAUCGGUGGCAAGCCAUGUGGCCCCCCAAGUAUGUUCUGAAAUUCUGCCAAUAAACCACGUAGCUUUGCUAGAAUUUCAAUAGUCAGGUGCUCUUCUCCCUUUACAACAAGUGCAGCACACAAAUCUGGCUCCUUCAAGUCUUCCAUAAACUCAUAAGAGGUAUGGGAGAUAGUUAACAUAGUUUUCCCCUCCUCCUUAGAGGUAUUACCUUCAGUUUUGAUUGGUAGGAUAAUGAUCUUUCUCUUGUUCCAAAUGAAAGAGUAAGAAUUUUUCUUGCCCUUGUGUAGUAUCCACAUCAAAUUGCCAAGGCCUCCCAAGAAGAACAUGGUAACAUCCAUGUCAACCACAUCACACAACACAUUUGAGCGAUAAUGCUUACCCAAAGAAAGUGGCAGGUUGCAUUGUUUGGUGAUCCUCAUAUUCACUCCUUUCUUGAUCCAUCCAAUAGUGUAGGGAUUUGGAUGAACAUGGGUUUCAAACUUUAAAUGGUUCACCAACUUCUAGGAGAUAAGAUUCUCACAGCUGCAACUACCAAUCACUAGUUUGCAUACCUUGCCAUUCACCGUGCAUUUGCUCUCAAAUACUUUCUUUCGUUGUGCGUCAUCGAGUUGUGGUGUGGAACAUAGGACUGAAGGAAAUAUGCCCUAGAGGCAAUAAUAAAGUUAUUAUUUAUUUCCUUAUAAUCAUGAUAAAUGUUUAUUAUUCAUGCUAGAAUUGUAUUUACCGGAAACAUAAUACAUGUGUGAAUACAUAGACAAACAAAGUGUCACUAGUAUGCCUCUACUUGACUAGCUCGUUAAUCAAAGAUGGUUAUGUUUCCUAACCAUGAACAAUGAGUUGUUAUUUGAUUAACGAGGUCACAUCAUUAGCAGAAUGAUCUGAUUGACAUGACCCAUUCCAUUAGCUUAGCACCCGAUCGUUUAGUAUGUUGCUAUUGCUUUCUUCAUGACUUAUACAUGUUCCUAUGACUAUGAGAUUAUGCAACUCCCGUUUACCGGAGGAAAACUUUGGGUACUACCAAACGUCACAACGUAACUGGGUGAUUAUAAAGGAGUAGUACAGGUGUCUCCAAUGGUCGAUGUUGGGUUGGCGUAUUUCGAGAUUAGGAUUUGUCACUCCGAUUGUCGGAGAGGUAUCUCUGGGCCCUCUCGGUAAUACACAUCACAUAAACCUUGCAAGCAUUACAACUAAUAUGUUAGUUGUGAGAUGAUGUAUUACGAAACGAGUAAAGAGACUUGCCGGUAACGAGAUUGAACUAGGUAUUGGAUACCGACGAUCGAAUCUCGGGCAAGUAACAUACCGAUGACAAAGGGAACAACGUAUGUUGUUAUGCGGUCUGACCGAUAAAGAUCUUCGUAGAAUAUGUAGGAGCCAAUAUGGGCAUCCAGGUCCCGCUAUUGGUUAUUGACCGGAGACGUGUCUCGGUCAUGUCUACAUUGUUCUCGAACCCGUAGGGUCCGCACGCUUAAGGUUACGAUGACAUCUAUAUUAUGAGUUUAUGCAUUUUGAUGUACCGAAGGUUGUUCGGAGUCCCGGAUGUGAUCACGGACAUGACGAGGAGUAUCUAAAUGGUCGAGACAUAAAGAUUGAUAUAUUGGAAGCCUAUGUUUGGACAUCGGAAGUGUUCCGGGUGAAAUCGGGAUUUUACCGGGUUACCGGGAGGUUACCGGAACCCCCCGGGAGCCAUAUGGGCCAUCAUGGGCCUUAGUGGAAAGGAGAAAGGGGCAGCCCAAGGGGGCUGCGCGCCUCCCCCCUUCCCCUAGUCCUAUUAGGACUAGGAGAGGUGGCCGGCCACCCCUCUCCCUCUUUCCCCCUUGGGAAUCCUAGUUGGAAUAGGAUUGGGGGGGGGGAGUCCUACUCCCGGUAGGAGUAGGACUCCUCCUGCGCCUCUCUCUCUUGGCCGGCGCCCCCUCCCCCCUUGGCUCCUUUAUAUACUGAGGUAGAGGCACCCCAAAGACACACAAGUUGACACAAGUUGAUCCACGUGAUCUAUUCCUUAGCCGUGUGCGGUGCCCCCUGCCACCAUAUUCCUCGAUAAUACUGUAGCGGAGUUUAGGCGAAGCCCUGCUGCUGUAGUUCAUCAAGAUCGUCACCACGCCGUCGUGCUGACGAAACUCUUCCCCGACACUUUGCUGGAUCGGAGUCCGGGGAUCGUCAUCGAGCUGAACGUGUGCUCGAACUCGGAGGUGCCGUAGUUUCGGUACUUGAUCGGUUGGAUCGUGAAGACGUACGACUACUUCCUCUACGUCGUGUCAUCGCUUCCGCAGUCGGUCUGCGUUGGGUACGUAGACAACACUCUCCCCUCGUUGCUAUGCAUCACAUGAUCCUGUCUGUGCGUAGGAAAAUUUUUGAAAUUACUACGAAACCCAACAGUGGCAUCCGAGCCUAGGUUAUUUAUGUUGAUGUUAUAUGCACGAGUAGAACACAAGUGAGUUGUGGACGAUACAAGUCAUACUGCCUACCAGCAUGUCAUACUUUGGUUCGGCGGUAUUGUUGGACGAGACGACCCGGACCAACCUUACGCGUACGCUUACGCGAGACCGGUUCCCUCGACGUGCUUUGCACAGAGAUGGCUUGCGGGCGACUGUCUCUCCAACUUUAGUUGAACCAAGUAUGGCUACGCCCGGUCCUUGCGAAGGUUAAAACAGAGUCUAUUUGACAAACUAUCGUUGUGGUUUUGAUGCGUAGGUGAGAUUGGUUCUUACUUAAGCCCGUAGCAGCCACGUAAAACAUGCAACAACAAAGUAGAGGACGUCUAACUUGUUUUUGCAGGGCAUGUUGUGAUGUGAUAUGGUCAAAGCAUGAUGCUGAAUUUUAUUGUAUGAGAUGAUCAUGUUUUGUAACCGAGUUAUCGGCAACUGGCAGGAGCCAUAUGGUUGUCGCUUUAUUGUAUGCAAUGCAAUCGCGAUGUAAUGCUUUACUUUAUUACUAAAUGGUAGUGAUAGUCGUGGAAGCAUAAGAUUGGCGAGACGACAAUGAUGCUACGAUGGAGAUCAAGGUGUCGCGCCGGUGACGAUGGUGAUCAUGACGGUGCUUCGGAGAUGGAGAUCACAAGCACAAGAUGAUGAUGACCAUAUCAUAUCACUUAUAUUGAUUGCAUGUGAUGUUUUUCUUUUUAUGCAUCUUAUCUUGCUUUGAUUGAUGGUAGCAUUAUAAGAUGAUCUCUCACUAAAUUAUCAAGAAGUGUUCUCCCUGAGUAUGCACCGUUGCCAAAGUUCGUCGUGCCCAGACACCACGUGAUGAUCGGGUGUGAUAAGCUCUACGUCCAUCUACAACGGGUGCAAGCCAGUUUUGCACACGCAGAAUACUCAGGUUAAACUUGACGAGCCUAGCAUAUGCAGAUAUGGCCUCGGAACACGGAGACCGAAAGGUCGAGCGUGAAUCAUAUAGUAGAUAUGAUCAACAUAACGAUGUUCACCAUUGAAAACUACUCCAUCUCACGUGAUGAUCGGUCAUGGUUUAGUUGAUUUGGAUCAUGUAAUCACUUAGAGGAUUAGAGGGAUGUCUAUCUAAGUGGGAGUUCUUAAAUAAUAUGAUUAAUUGAACUGAAAUUUAUCAUGAACUUAGUACCUGAUAGUAUCUUGCUUAUGUUGAUUGUAGAUAGAUGGCUCGUGCUGUUGUUCCGUUGAAUUUUAAUGCGUUCCUUGAGAAAGCAAAGUUGAAAGAUGAUGGUAGCAAUUACACGGACUGGGUCCGUAACUUGAGGAUUAUCCUCAUUGCUGCACAGAAAAAUUACGUUCUGGAAGCACCGCUGGGUGCCAGGCCUGCUGCUGGAGCAACACCAGAUGUUAUGAACGUCUGGCAGAGCAAAGCUGAUGACUACUCGAUAGUUCAGUGUGCCAUGCUUUACGGCUUAGAAUCGGGACUUCAACGACGUUUUGAACGUCAUGGAGCAUAUGAGAUGUUCCAGGAGUUGAAGUUAAUAUUUCAAGCAAAUGCCCGAAUUGAGAGAUAUGAAGUCUCCAAUAAGUUCUAUAGCUGCAAGAUGGAGGAGAACAGUUCUGUCAGUGAGCAUAUACUCAAAAUGUCUGGGUAUAAUAAUCACUUGAUUCAAUUGGGAGUUAAUCUUCCGGAUGAUUGCGUUAUUGACAGAAUUCUCCAAUCACUACCACCAAGCUACAAGAGCUUCGUGAUGAACUAUAAUAUGCAAGGGAUGAGCAAGACUAUUCCCGAGCUCUUCGCAAUGCUGAAAGCUGCGGAGGUAGAAAUCAAGAAGGAGCAUCAAGUGUUGAUGGUUAACAAGACCACUAGUUUCAAGAAAAAGGGCAAAGGGAAGAAAAAGGGGAACUUCAAGAAGAACGGCAAGCAAGUUGCUGCUCAAGAGAAGAAACCCAAGUCUGGACCUAAGCCUGAAACUGAGUGCUUCUACUGCAAGCAGACUGGUCACUGGAAGCGGAACUGCCCCAAGUAUUUGGCGGAUAAGAAGGAUGGCAAGGUGAACAAAGGUAUAUGUGAUAUACAUGUUAUUGAUGUGUACCUUACUAGAGCUCGCAGUAGCACCUGGGUAUUUGAUACUGGUUCUGUUGCUAAUAUUUGCAACUCGAAACAGGGACUACAGAAUAAGCGGGCACUGGCAAAGGACGAGGUGACGAUGCGCAUGGGAAACGGUUCCAAAGUCGAUGUGAUCGCAGUCGGCACGCUACCUCUACAUCUACCUUCGGGAUUAAUAUUAGACCUAAGUAAUUGUUAUUUGGUGCCAGCGUUGAGCAUGAACAUUAUAUCUGGAUCUUGUUUAAUGCGAGACGGUUAUUCAUUUAAAUCAGAGAAUAAUGGUUGUUCUAUUUAUAUGACUAAUAUCUUUUAUGGUCAUGCACCCUUGAAGAGUGGUCUAUUUUUAUUGAAUCUCGAUAGUAGUAAUACACAUAUUCAUAAUGUUGAAGCCAAAAGAUGCAGAGUUGAUAAUGAAAGUGCAACUUAUUUGUGGCACUGUCGUUUAGGUCAUAUCGGUAUAAAGCGCAUGAAGAAACUCCAUACUGAUGGACUUUUGGAACCACUUGAUUAUGAAUCACUUGGUACUUGCGAACCGUGCCUCAUGGGCAAGAUGACUAAAACACCGUUCUCCGGUACUAUGGAGAGAGCAACAGAUUUGUUGGAAAUCAUACAUACCGAUGUAUGUGGCCCGAUGAAUAUUGAGGCUCGUGGCGGAUAUCGUUAUUUUCUCACCUUCACAGAUGAUUUAAGCAGAUAUGGGUAUAUUGACUUAAUGAAACAUAAGUCUGAAACAUUUGAAAAGUUCAAAGAAUUUCAGAGUGAAGUUGAAAAUCAUCGUAACAAGAAAAUAAAGUUUCUACGAUCUGAUCGUGGAGGAGAAUAUUUGAGUUACGAGUUUGGUGUACAUUUGAAAAACUGUGGAAUAGUUUCGCAACUCACGCCACCCGGAACACCACAGCGUAAUGGUGUGUCCGAACGUCGUAAUCGUACUUUACUAGAUAUGGUGCGAUCUAUGAUGUCUCUUACUGAUUUACCGCUAUCAUUUUGGGGAUAUGCUUUAGAGACGGCCGCAUUCACGUUAAAUAGGGCACCAUCAAAAUCCGUUGAGACGACGCCUUAUGAACUGUGGUUUGGCAAGAAACCAAAGUUGUCGUUUCUUAAAGUUUGGGGCUGCGAUGCUUAUGUGAAAAAGCUUCAACCUGAUAAGCUCGAACCCAAAUCGGAGAAAUGUGUCUUCAUAGGAUACCCAAAGGAAACUGUUGGGUACACCUUCUAUCACAGAUCCGAAGGCAAAACAUUCGUUGCUAAGAAUGGAUCAUUUCUAGAGAAGGAGUUUCUCUCAAAAGAAGUGAGUGGGAGGAAAGUAGAACUUGACGAGGUAACUGUACCUGCUCCCUUACUGGAAAGUAGUUCAUCACAGAAAAAUGUUUCAGUGACACCUACACCAGUUAGUGAGGAAGCCAAUGAUAAUGAUCAUGAAACUUCAGAUCAAGAUACUACUGAACCGCGUAGAUCAACCAGAGUAAGAUCCGCACCAGAGUGGUACGGUAAUCCUGUUCUGGAGGUCAUGCUACUAGAUCAUGAUGAACCUACGAACUAUGAAGAAGCGAUGGUGAGCCCAGAUUCCGUAAAGUGGUUUGAAGCCAUGAAAUCUGAGAUGGGAUCCAUGUAUGAGAACAAAGUAUGGACUUUGGUUGACUUGCCCGAUGAUCGGCAAGCAAUUGAGAAUAAAUGGAUUUUUAAGAAGAAGACUGACGCUGAUGGUAAUGUUACUGUCUACAAAGCUCGACUUGUCGCAAAAGGUUUUCGGCAAGUUCAAGGAAUUGACUACGAUGAGACCUUCUCACCCGUAGCGAUGCUUAAGUCCGUCCGAAUCAUGUUAGCAAUUGCCGCAUUUUAUGAUUAUGAAAUUUGGCAAAUGGAUGUCAAAACUGCAUUCCUGAAUGGAUUUCUGGAAGAAGAGUUGUAUAUGAUGCAACCAGAAGGUUUUGUCGAUCCAAAGGGAGCUAACAAAGUGUGCAAGCUCCAGCGAUCCAUUUAUGGACUGGUGCAAGCCUCUCGGAGUUGGAAUAAACGUUUUGAUAGUGUGAUCAAAGCAUUUGGUUUUUUACAGACUUUCGGAGAAGCCUGUAUUUACAAGAAAGUGAGUGGGAGCUCUGUAGCAUUUCUGAUAUUAUAUGUGGAUGACAUAUUACUGAUUUGAAAUGAUAUAGAAUUUCUGGAUAGCAUAAAGGGAUACUUGAAUAAAAGUUUUUCAAUGAAAGACCUCGGUGAAGCUGCUUACAUAUUAGGCAUUAAGAUCUAUAGAGAUAGAUCAAGACGCUUAAUUGGACUUUCACAAAGCACAUACCUUGACAAAAUUUUGAAGAAGUUCAAAAUGGAUCAAGCGAAGAAAGGGUUCUUGCCUGUGUUACAAGGUGUGAAAUUGAGUAAGACUCAAUGCCCGACCACUGCAGAAGAUAGAGAGAAUAUGAAAGAUGUUCCCUAUGCAUCAGCCAUAGGCUCUAUCAUGUAUGCAAUGUUGUGUACCAGACCUGAUGUGUGCCUUGCUAUAAGUUUAGCAGGGAGGUACCAAAGUAAUCCAGGAAUGGAUCACUGGACAGCGGUCAAGAACAUCCUGAAAUACCUGAAAAGGACUAAGGAUAUGUUUCUCGUAUAUGGAAGUGACAAAGAGCUCAUCGUAAAAGGUUACGUUGAUGCAAGCUUUGACACUGAUCCGGACGAUUCUAAAUCGCAAACCGUAUACGUGUUUACAUUAAAUGGUGGAGCUGUCAGUUGGUGCAGUUCUAAACAAAGCGUCGUAGCGGGAUCUACAUGUGAAGCGGAAUACAUAGCUGCUUCGGAAGCAGCAAAUGAAGGAGUCUGGAUGAAGGAGUUCAUAUCCGAUCUAGGUGUCAUACCUAGUGCAUCGGGUCCAAUGAAAAUCUUUUGUGACAAUACUGGUGCAAUUGCCUUGGCAAAGGAAUCCAGAUUUCACAAAAGGACCAAACACAUCAAGAGACGCUUCAACUCCAUCCGGGAUCUAGUCCAGGUGGGAGACAUAGAGAUAUGCAAGAUACAUACGGAUCUGAAUGUUGCAGACCCGUUGACUAAGCCUCUUCCACGAGCAAAACAUGAUCAGCACCAAAGCUCCAUGGGUGUUAGAUUCAUUACAGUGUAAUCUAGAUUAUUGACUCUAGUGCAAGUGGGAGACUGAAGGAAAUAUGCCCUAGAGGCAAUAAUAAAGUUAUUAUUUAUUUCCUUAUAAUCAUGAUAAAUGUUUAUUAUUCAUGCUAGAAUUGUAUUUACCGGAAACAUAAUACAUGUGUGAAUACAUAGACAAACAGAGUGUCACUAGUAUGCCUCUACUUGACUAGCUCGUUAAUCAAAGAUGGUUAUGUUUCCUAACCAUGAACAAUGAGUUGUUAUUUGAUUAACGAGGUCACAUCAUUAGUAGAAUGAUCUGAUUGACAUGACCCAUUCCAUUAGCUUAGCACCCGAUCGUUUAGUAUGUUGCUAUUGCUUUCUUCAUGACUUAUACAUGUUCCUAUGACUAUGAGAUUAUGCAACUCCCGUUUACCGGAGGAACACUUUGGGUACUAUCAAACGUCACAACGUAACUGGGUGAUUAUAAAGGAGUACUACAGGUGUCUCCAAUGGUCGAUGUUGGGUUGGCGUAUUUCGAGAUUAGGAUUUGUCACUCCGAUUGUCGGAGAGGUAUCUCUGGGCCCUCUCGGUAAUACACAUCACAUAAGCCUUGCAAGCAUUACAACUAAUAUGUUAGUUGUGAGAUGAUGUAUUACGAAACGAGUAAAGAGACUUGCCGGUAACGAGAUUGAACUAGGUAUUGGAUACCGACGAUCGAAUCUCGGGCAAGUAACAUACCGAUGACAAAGGGAACAACGUAUGUUGUUAUGCGGUCUGACCGAUAAAGAUCUUCGUAGAAUAUGUAGGAGCCAAUAUGGGCAUCCAGGUCCCGCUAUUGGUUAUUGACCGGAGACGUGUCUCGGUCAUGUCUACAUUGUUCUCGAACCCGUAGGGUCCGCACGCUUAAGGUUACGAUGACAGCUAUAUUAUGAGUUUAUGCAUUUUGAUGUACCGAAGGUUGUUCGGAGUCCCGGAUGUGAUCACGGACAUGACGAGGAGUCUCGAAAUGGUCGAGACAUAAAGAUUGAUAUAUUGGAAGCCUAUGUUUGGACAUCGGAAGUGUUCCGGGUGAAAUCGGGAUUUUACCGGGUUACCGGGAGGUUACCGGAACCCCCCGGGAGCCAUAUGGGCCAUCAUGGGCCUUAGUGGAAAGGAGAAAGGGGCAGCCCAAGGGGGCUGCGCGCCUCCCCCCUUUCCCUAGUCCUAUUAGGACUAGGAGAGGUGGCCGGCCACCCCUCUCCCUCUUUCCCCCUUGGGAAUCCUAGUUGGAAUAGGAUUGGGGGGGGGGAGUCCUACUCCCGGUAGGAGUAGGACUCCUCCUGCGCCUCUCUCUCUUGGCCGGCGCCCCCUCCCCCCUUGGCUCCUUUAUAUACUGAGGUAGAGGCACCCCAAAGACACACAAGUUGACACAAGUUGAUCCACGUGAUCUAUUCCUUAGCCGUGUGCGGUGCCCCCUGCCACCAUAUUCCUCGAUAAUACUGUAGCGGAGUUUAGGCGAAGCCCUGCUGCUGUAGUUCAUCAAGAUCGUCACCACGCCGUCGUGCUGACGAAACUCUUCCCCGACACUUUGCUGGAUCGGAGUCCGGGGAUCGUCAUCGAGCUGAACGUGUGCUCGAACUCGGAGGUGCCGUAGUUUCGGUACUUGAUCGGUUGGAUCGUGAAGACGUACGACUACUUCCUCUACGUCGUGUCAUCGCUUCCGCAGUCGGUCUGUGUUGGGUACGUAGACAACACUCUCCCCUCGUUGCUAUGCAUCACAUGAUCCUGUGUGUGCGUAGGAAAUUUUUUGAAAUUACUACGAAACCCAACAGUGGCAUCCGAGCCUAGAUUAUUUAUGUUGAUGUUAUAUGCACGAGUAGAACACAAGUGAGUUGUGGACGAUACAAGUCAUACUGCCUACCAGCAUGUCAUACUUUGGUUCGGCGGUAUUGUUGGACGAGACGACCCGGACCAACCUUACGCGUACGCUUACGCGAGACCGGUUCCCUCGACGUGCUUUGCACAGAGAUGGCUUGCGGGCGACUGUCUCUCCAACUUUAGUUGAACCAAGUAUGGCUACGCCCGGUCCUUGCGAAGGUUAAAACGGAGUCUAUUUGACAAACUAUCGUUGUGGUUUUGAUGCGUAGGUGAGAUUGGUUCUUACUUAAGCCCGUAGCAGCCACGUAAAACAUGCAACAACAAAGUAGAGGACGUCUAACUUGUUUUUGCAGGGCAUGUUGUGAUGUGAUAUGGUCAAAGCAUGAUGCUGAAUUUUAUUGUAUGAGAUGAUCAUGUUUUGUAACCGAGUUAUCGGCAACUGGCAGGAGCCAUAUGGUUGUCNNNNNNNNNNNNNNNNNNNNNNNNNNNNNNNNNNNNNNNNNNNNNNNNNNNNNNNNNNNNNNNNNNNNNNNNNNNNNNNNNNNNNNNNNNNNNNNNNNNNAAAUUUAUCAUGAACUUAGUACCUGAUAGUAUCUUGCUUAUGUUGAUUGUAGAUAGAUGGCUCGUGCUGUUGUUCCGUUGAAUUUUAAUGCGUUCCUUGAGAAAGCAAAGUUGAAAGAUGAUGGUAGCAAUUACACGGACUGGGUCCGUAACUUGAGGAUUAUCCUCAUUGCUGCACAGAAAAAUUACGUUCUGGAAGCACCGCUGGGUGCCAGGCCUGCUGCUGGAGCAACACCAGAUGUUAUGAACGUCUGGCAGAGCAAAGCUGAUGACUACUCGAUAGUUCAGUGUGCCAUGCUUUACGGCUUAGAAUCGGGACUUCAACGACGUUUUGAACGUCAUGGAGCAUAUGAGAUGUUCCAGGAGUUGAAGUUAAUAUUUCAAGCAAAUGCCCGAAUUGAGAGAUAUGAAGUCUCCAAUAAGUUCUAUAGCUGCAAGAUGGAGGAGAACAGUUCUGUCAGUGAGCAUAUACUCAAAAUGUCUGGGUAUAAUAAUCACUUGAUUCAAUUGGGAGUUAAUCUUCCGGAUGAUUGCGUUAUUGACAGAAUUCUCCAAUCACUACCACCAAGCUACAAGAGCUUCGUGAUGAACUAUAAUAUGCAAGGGAUGAGCAAGACUAUUCCCGAGCUCUUCGCAAUGCUGAAAGCUGCGGAGGUAGAAAUCAAGAAGGAGCAUCAAGUGUUGAUGGUUAACAAGACCACUAGUUUCAAGAAAAAGGGCAAAGGGAAGAAAAGGGGAACUUCAAGAAGAACGGCAAGCAAGUUGCUGCUCAAGAGAAGAAACCCAAGUCUGGACCUAAGCCUGAAACUGAGUGCUUCUACUGCAAGCAGACUGGUCACUGGAAGCGGAACUGCCCCAAGUAUUUGGCGGAUAAGAAGGAUGGCAAGGUGAACAAAGGUAUAUGUGAUAUACAUGUUAUUGAUGUGUACCUUACUAGAGCUCGCAGUAGCACCUGGGUAUUUGAUAGUGGUUCUGUUGCUAAUAUUUGCAACUCGAAACAGGGACUACAGAAUAAGCGGGCACUGGCAAAGGACGAGGUGACGAUGCGCGUGGGAAACGGUUCCAAAGUCGAUGUGAUCGCAGUCGGCACGCUACCUCUACAUCUACCUUCGGGAUUAAUAUUAGACCUAAAUAAUUGUUAUUUGGUGUCAGCGUUGAGCAUGAAUAUUAUAUCUGGAUCUUGUUUAAUGCGAGACGGUUAUUCAUUUAAAUCAGAGAAUAAUGGUUGUUCUAUUUAUAUGAGUAAUAUCUUUUAUGGUCAUGCACCCUUGAAGAGUGGUCUAUUCUUAUUGAAUCUCGAUAGUAGUAAUACACAUAUUCAUAAUAUUGAAGCCAAAAGAUGCAGAGUUGAUAAUGAAAGUGCAACUUAUUUGUGGCACUGUCGUUUAGGUCAUAUCGGUAUAAAGCGCAUGAAGAAACUCCAUGCUGAUGGACUUUUGGAACCACUUGAUUAUGAAUCACUUGGUACUUGCGAACCGUGCCUCAUGGGCAAGAUGACUAAAACACCGUUCUCCGGUACUAUGGAGAGAGCAACAGAUUUGUUGGAAAUCAUACAUACCGAUGUAUGUGGCCCGAUGAAUAUUGAGGCUCGUGGCGGAUAUCGUUAUUUUCUCACCUUCACAGAUGAUUUGAGCAGAUAUGGAUAUAUCUACUUAAUGAAGCAUAAGUCUGAAACAUUUGAAAAGUUCAAAGAAUUUCAGAGUGAAGUUGAAAAUCAUCGUAACAAGAAAAUAAAGUUUCUACGAUCUGAUCGUGGAGGAGAAUAUUUGAGUUACGAGUUUGGUGUACAUUUGAAAAACUGUGGAAUAGUUUCACAACUCACGCCACCCGGAACACCACAGCGCAAUGGUGUGUCCGAACGUCGUAAUCGUACUUUACUAGAUAUGGUGCGAUCUAUGAUGUCUCUUACAGAUUUACCGCUAUCAUUUUGGGGUUAUGCUUUAGAGACGGCCGCAUUCACGUUAAAUAGGGCACCAUCAAAAUCCGUUGAGACGACGCCUUAUGAACUAUGUUUGGCAAGAAACCAAAGUUGUCGUUUCUUAAAGUUUGGGGCUGCGAUGCUUAUGUGAAAAAGCUUCAACCUGAUAAGCUCGAACCCAAAUCGGAGAAAUGUGUAUUCAUAGGAUACCCAAAGGAAACUGUUGGGUACACCUUCUAUCACAGAUCCGAAGGCAAAACAUUCGUUGCUAAGAAUGGAUCAUUUCUAGAGAAGGAGUUUCUCUCGAAAGAAGUGAGUGGGAGGAAAGUAGAACUUGACGAGGUAACUGUACCUGCUCCCUUACUGGAGAGUAGUUCAUCACAGAAAACUGUUUCAGUGACACCUACACCGGUUAGUGAGGAAGCCAAUGAUAAUGAUCAUGAAACUUCAGAUCAAGAUACUACUGAACCACGUAGAUCAACCAGAGUAAGAUCCGCGCCAGAGUGGUACGGAAAUCCUGUUCUGGAAGUCAUGCUACUAGAUCAUGAUGAACCUACGAACUAUGAAGAAGCGAUGGUGAGCCCAGAUUCCACAAAGUGGCUUGAAGCCAUGAAAUCUGAGAUGGGAUCCAUGUAUGAGAACAAAGUAUGGACUUUGGUUGAUUUGCCCGAUGAUCGGCAAGCAAUUGAGAAUAAAUGGAUCUUUAAGAAGAAGACUGACGCUGAUGGUAAUGUUACUGUCUACAAAGCUCGACUUGUCGCAAAAGGUUUUCGACAAGUUCAAGGGAUUGACUACGAUGAGACCUUCUCACCCGUAGCGAUGCUUAAGUCCGUCCGAAUCAUGUUAGCGAUUGCCGCAUUUUAUGAUUAUGAAAUUUGGCAGAUGGAUGUCAAAACUGCAUUCCUGAAUGGAUUUCUAGAAGAAGAGUUGUAUAUGAUGCAACCGGAAGGUUUUGUCGAUCCAAAGGGAGCUAACAAAGUGUGCAAGCUCCAGCGAUCCAUUUAUGGACUGGUGCAAGCCUCUCGGAGUUGGAAUAAACGUUUUGAUAGUGUGAUCAAAGCAUUUGGUUUUAUACAGACUUUCGGAGAAGCCUGUAUUUACAAGAAAGUGAGUGGGAGCUCUGUAGCAUUUCUGAUAUUAUAUGUGGAUGACAUAUUACUGAUUGGAAAUGAUAUAGAAUUUCUGGAUAGCAUAAAGGGAUACUUGAAUAAAAGUUUUUCAAUGAAAGACCUCGGUGAAGCUGCUUACAUAUUAGGCAUUAAGAUCUAUAGAGAUAGAUCAAAACGCUUAAUUGGACUUUCACAAAGCACAUACCUUGACAAAAUUUUGAAGAAGUUCAAAAUGGAUCAGGCAAAGAAAGGGUUCUUGCCUGUGUUACAAGGUGUGAAAUUGAGUAAGACUCAAUGCCCGACCACUGCAGAAGAUAGAGAGAAUAUGAAAGAUGUUCCCUAUGCAUCAGCCAUAGGAUCUAUCAUGUAUGCAAUGUUGUGUACCAGACCUGAUGUGUGCCUUGCUAUAAGUUUAGCAGGGAGGUACCAAAGUAAUCCAGGAGUGGAUCACUGGACAGCGGUCAAGAACAUCCUGAAAUACCUGAAAAGGACUAAGGAUAUGUUUCUCAUAUAUGGAGGUGACAAAGAGCUCAUCGUAAAAGGUUACGUUGAUGCAAGCUUUGACACUGAUCCGGACGAUUCUAAAUCGCAAACCGGAUACGUGUUUACAUUAAACGGUGGAGCUGUCAGUUGGUGCAGUUCUAAACAAAGCGUCGUAGCGGGAUCUACAUGUGAAGCGGAAUACAUAGCUGCUUCGGAAGCAGCAAAUGAAGGAGUCUGGGUGAAGGAGUUCAUAUCCGAUCUAGGUGUCAUACCUAGUGCAUCGGGUCCAAUGAAAAUCUUUUGUGACAAUACUGGUGCAAUUGCCUUGGCAAAGGAAUCCAGAUUUCACAAAAGGACCAAACACAUCAAGAGACGCUUCAACUCCAUCCGGGAUCUAGUCCAGGUGGGAGACAUAGAGAUUUGCAAGAUACAUACGGAUCUGAAUGUUGCAGACCCAUUGACUAAGCCUCUUCCACGAGCAAAACAUGAUCAGCACCAAGGCUCCAUGGGUGUUAGAAUCAUUACAGUGUAAUCUAGAUUAUUGACUCUAGUGCAAGUGGGAGACUGAAGGAAAUAUGCCCUAGAGGCAAUAAUAAAGUUAUUAUUUAUUUCCUUAUAAUCAUGAUAAAUGUUUAUUAUUCAUGCUAGAAUUGUAUUUACCGGAAACAUAAUACAUGUGUGAAUACAUAGACAUACAAAGUGUCACUAGUAUGCCUCUACUUGACUAGCUCGUUAAUCAAAGAUGGUUAUGUUUCCUAACCAUGAACAAUGAGUUGUUAUUUGAUUAACGAGGUCACAUCAUUAGCAGAAUGAUCUGAUUGACAUGACCCAUUCCAUUAGCUUAGCACCCGAUCGUUUAGUAUGUUGCUAUUGCUUUCUUCAUGACUUAUACAUGUUCCUAUGACUAUGAGAUUAUGCAACUCCCGUUUACCGGAGGAACACUUUGGGUACUACCAAACGUCACAACGUAACUGGGUGAUUAUAAAGGAGUACUACAGGUGUCUCCAAUGGUCGAUGUUGGGUUGGCGUAUUUCGAGAUUAGGAUUUGUCACUCCGAUUGUCGGAGAGGUAUCUCUGGGCCCUCUCGGUAAUACACAUCACAUAAGCCUUGCAAGCAUUAAAACUAAUAUGUUAGUUGUGAGAUGAUGUAUUACGAAACGAGUAAAGAGACUUGCCGGUAACGAGAUUGAACUAGGUAUUGGAUACCGACGAUCGAAUCUCGGGCAAGUAACAUACCGAUGACAAAGGGAACAACGUAUGUUGUUAUGCGGUCUGACCGAUAAAGAUCUUCGUGGAAUAUGUAGGAGCCAAUAUGGGCAUCCAGGUCCCGCUAUUGGUUAUUGACCGGAGACGUGUCUCGGUCAUGUCUACAUUGUUCUCGAACCCGUAGGGUCCGCACGCUUAAGGUUACGAUGACAGCUAUAUUAUGAGUUUAUGCAUUUUGAUGUACCGAAGGUUGUUCGGAGUCCCGGAUGUGAUCAUGGACAUGACGAGGAGUCUCGAAAUGGUCGAGACAUAAAGAUUGAUAUAUUGGAAGCCUAUGUUUGGACAUCGGAAGUGUUCCGGGUGAAAUCGGGAUUUUACCGGGUUACCGGGAGGUUACCGGAACCCCCCGGGAGCCAUAUGGGCCAUCAUGGGCCUUAGUGGAAAGGAGAAAGGGGCAGCCCAAGGGGGCUGCGCGCCUCCCCCCUUUCCCUAGUCCUAUUAGGACUAGGAGAGGUGGCCGGCCACCCCUCUCCCUCUUUCCCCCUUGGGAAUCCUAGUUGGAAUAGGAUUGGGGGGGAGUCCUACUCCCGGUAGGAGUAGGACUCCUCCUGCGCCUCUCUCUCUUGGCCGGCGCCCCCUCCCCCCUUGGCUCCUUUAUAUACUGAGGUAGAGGCACCCCAAAGACACACAAGUUGACACAAGUUGAUCCACGUGAUCUAUUCCUUAGCCGUGUGCGGUGCCCCCUGCCACCAUAUUCCUCGAUAAUACUGUAGCGGAGUUUAGGCGAAGCCCUGCUGCUGUAGUUCAUCAAGAUCGUCACCACGCCGUCGUGCUGACGAAACUCUUCCCCGACACUUUGCUGGAUCGGAGUCCGGGGAUCGUCAUCGAGCUGAACGUGUGCUCGAACUCGGAGGUGCCGUAGUUUCGGUACUUGAUCGGUUGGAUCGUGAAGACGUACGACUACUUCCUCUACGUCGUGUCAUCGCUUCCGCAGUCGGUCUGCGUUGGGUACGUAGACAACACUCUCCCCUCGUUGCUAUGCAUCACAUGAUCCUGUGUGUGCGUAGGAAAAUUUUUGAAAUUACUACGAAACCCAACAAGGACACGCUGGAUCACACAUACCACCUCUUCACCUUCUUCUUGACAAACCUCUUGUCCGUCUACAUCUUCAGAUUCGUAUUCUUCCUCAUCGUUUUCACCAUCAUGGAUAGUCGUGUUAACAAAUUUCCUUAGUGGGCAACCGCUGGAUAUGUGUCCCUCUUUACCACAUUUAUAGCACUUUGGGCCUUCAUUUGCCUUACCCUUGCCUCUAAUUUGCUUCGGGGUGGGCUGUUUUGUCUUUGGUGGAGUGGUCUUUUCUUCCACUCUAUUAGGUUGGUUCCUAGAUGAGCCUUCGGUAUGAGGAUAUGGAGCCUUAGUUGUCUUUCUCAUCCUCACAAACCUCUCGGCCUUUAAGGCUAGAGCUUGUGCUUGAUCAACGGACCAGAUUUGUUGCAUCAUCAAUCGAUCUUGAAUAGCAUCAUUGAGACCAUUGAUGUACCUUGCAACUUGUUGCUCUUCAGUUUCAGCAAGGUUGCACCUCACUUGUAGCCUUAGAAACUCCUCCGUGUAAUCUGAAACAGUCCUAUUUCCUUGAGCACAAUUUUGAAAUUGGAUAAAUAGGAUCUGGUCAUAAUCAGCGGCAAAAAUCUCCUUUUCAAGAGGCCUUUCAUUUGUCGCCAAGUUCUAACACGAGGUUCUCCUCUCAGCCUGCGCUCCUCUUGAACGCGAUGCCACCAUGCACCGGCUCCUCCUUUCAGCUUGUAUGCGACCAAAGGAACUCUAUGAUCUUCCGGAACCUCCAUGACCUCAAAGAAAGUCUCCACUUCAUAUAACCAAUUUAGGCACCCUUCAAUGUCAACAUUUCCAUUAAAACUUGGGAUCUCGGCUUUCACCUUGUAUGUAUCUCUUGCAUAUGUAGGGUUGGGUUGGGUGCUCUCCGAUAUGCGUAGAGAUUUGGUUUUUUAAGGGCAUCAUCAUAUUCUUCACCUUCAGAAGCUUCAACAUAAAUUGGCCUUCUUGAAGCACGUUGAACAACAUGUUGUUGUGGCGGUCUUGAUCCAAGAUUACCUCUCCUUCUUCUUUGAUGAACAUCUUCCUCUUCUUUAGAUGAAACUCCUUCAUUGGUAGCAGGGGGACACCCUUUCUUAUCAUCUCAACCAACUGGUCAAAUAUCCUAUUAAGAUCUUCACGCGGCUCUUUGAUUUGUUGUUCAGCAGCAUCCAUCCUCUUCUCCAAUUGCUCCAUUGCUUGCUGCAACUUGCUCUCCAAGAGGACAGCAAGAACGAUUAUGGGUCAAUGAGGCUAUAGAGCCACCUGAAGCAGCACAAAGGUUGUGAAGGAGCAACUCCACCUUGCUGCUACAAUGUGUACAGCACAAGCGUUGAAGGAACAACUUCAACGUGUUGCGCUAGAUAUCGCUCUAGAGGCGAAUGUAGCCUGAUAGGGAAACAAAAGUUUAAUCCAGAACUCCUAGGGCACAAGACCUACUCCAAGAUCUUAGAUAAGAACAACAAGUUCUAUUAUAGGUAGGGGUACAUAGUCUCCGUACAAAGUAGAGGUGAUGACCUCUAUUUAUAGGACUUUGGGAAGCCUUCACAUACUACUACUUAUAGCUGGAAUACUCUAGAAAACAUUAUGUAAGUUUCACCAUUCUACUCAUAGCUACUCACAACUAGAAGACUCUAGAAAACAGUAGGUAGGAUAAAAAAGAAAAAGAAAGAAAUACUACACUAGAGUGGAAGCAUCUAGAAGUAGCCAAACAGAUCUGGCAUGUGUUUUCUUUCUUCUCAUCUAGUGCUCCUCAUCACUUAGCCACACAUACAUGUUAGGGGGCGCUCACUGGAGCCAGCUGGGAGAUACAUAUGACAUGAAAUCGACGGCCGCGGCAGCAUGAUCGAG
rnacentral:lncRNA from 1 species